AAGAACACCCGUCAAUAGGCUCUAUGUGGAAGCCUAGCAAUAGGUGAAGCAAAGGGGUACUAAUAGACCGAGGGCUUGACUAA
rnacentral:rRNA from 3 species